GGGGAAUAGGGAUGAGGUCUUCGAUCGAUUCACCCUGAGUUUCUGUUAGCUUAUCAUGGGUAUCUAGUCCCUCGACAGGAUAGGUCUCUACAAUUUUAGCUCUUUGCAAUGAGAUGUACUAACAAUACCACAUCAGAUUUUGAUCUCCAAAGAUCUCUCCAAUCUCGUGGGUGGUGGGAAACUUCACUUUUAGACAAUAGGUCGACACGACAGCACGAAAUGCAUUUAGGUCAGAUCGUCCAAGAAUUGCAUUAUAGACUGAGGGUCCUUGGAUUACAAGAAAAUCAAUUUGGGCAGUGGACUGAUGCAGGUAUAGCAGGCCUACUUUUACGAGUUGCAUGAUGACCCUCCACUGGGAUUGCAUCACCAGUGAAACUGGACUGAUGCAGG
rnacentral:lncRNA from 1 species